rnacentral:misc_RNA from 1 species
AACGCAUAUGGCACCUUUUGGCUCUUGCUGAAAGGUAUGCCUGUUUGAGAAUCAUUUCCAACCAUUUCUGAUUGUUUACCUGUCAGAAGAGCUGGGCCUUCACCACUGAUCGCCUCGAAUGCAGCGUGCACGUGUCGUGAUAAUUAACCGUUGAUCGACGAGUGCGCCAUCCUUGUCAAUGAUCUCAAAUCAGGCAGGACUACCCGCUGAACUUAA